rnacentral:lncRNA from 1 species
CUACUUUUUAUUACCAUUUAUUUUUAAAAAAAUUUCUUUUAUUCAUAUGUCAAUAUGUUAUGGGCUUAGGACAAAGAAUGAGAUGUUAUUUGGGACAAAUGAUUCAUCUGUCAAAUAUUCCUCGUACGGUGGAAUUUCUCUUUACAACAUGAUACAAAACAUAAAAAUGGUUGCUUGGAUUUGAAGUUAAGAAUUUUUAUACAUGUGUUUCUUGCACCUCAUUGCAUGUGAAUAUGACCCUGAUAUGCAUAAAUUUCAUUGCAAGCGUCUACCAAAC